CCAAUAGCGUAUAUUAAAGUUGUUGCAGUUAAAAAGCUCGUAGUUGAACUUCGGGGUCUACCCAUUGGUCAGGCUUAAUUGUCUGCACUGGUGAGAUGGAUCUCUACCUUCUGAGGAACUUUCAUGCCAUUUAUUUGGUGUGAUGGGAAAUCAGGACUGUUACUUUGAAAAAAUUAGAGUGUUUAAAGCAGACUAUCGUCUGAAUACAUUAGCAUGGAAUAAUGAAAUAGGACGGACUGAUUCUAUUUCGUUGGUUUCUAGGAUCACCGUAAUGAUUAAUAGGGAUAGUUGGGGGCAUUAGUAUUCAAUUGUCAGAGGUGAAAUUCUUGGAUUUAUUGAAGACUAACUACUGCGAAAGCAUUUGCCAAGGAUGUUUUCAUUAAUCAAGAACGAAAGUUAGGGGAUCGAAGACGAUCAGAUACCGUCGUAGUCUUAACCAUAAACUAUGCCGACUAGGGAUCGGACGAAGUUAAUUUUAUAAUGACGCGUUCGGCACCUUACG
rnacentral:sRNA from 2 species